AUGGUAGCUGGUUGUGUAGUGGGGCUAGAUGGUAGAUGGUUGUGUAGUGGGGCUAGAUGGUAGAUGGUUGUGUAGUGUGGCUAGGUGGUAGAUGGUUGUGUAGUGUGGCUAGAUGGUAGAUGGUUGUGUAGUGGGGCUAGAUGGUAGAUGGUUGUGUAGUGGGGCUAGAUGGUAGAUGGUUGUGUAGUGGGGCUAGAUGGUAGAUGGUUGUGUAGUGGGGCUAGAUGGUAGAUGGUUGUGUAGUGGGGCUAGAUGGUAGAUGGUAGAUGGUUGUGUAGUGGGGUUUGAUGGUAGAUGGUUGUGUAGUGGUGCUAGAUGGUAGAUGGUUGUGUAGUGGGGCUAGAUGGUAGAUGGUUGUGUAGUGGGGCUAGAUGGUAGAUGGUAGAUGGUUGUGUAGUGGGGCUAGAUGGUAGAUGGUAGAUGGUUGUGUAGUGGGGUUAGAUGGUAGAUGGUUGUGUAGUGGGGCUAGAUGGUAGAUGGUUGUGUAGUGUGGCUAGGUGGUAGAUGGUUGUGUAGUGUGGCUAGAUGGUAGAUGUUUGUGUAGUGGGGCUAGAUGGUAGAUGGUUGUGUAGUGGGGCUAGAUGGUAGAUGGUUGUGUAGUGGGGCUAGAUGGUAGAUGGUUGUGUAGUGGGGCUAGAUGGUAGAUGGUUGUGUAGUGGGGCUAGAUGGUAGCUGGUCGUGUAGUGGGGCUAGAUGGUAGAUGGUUGUGUAGUGGGGCUAGAUGGUAGCUGGUUGUGUAGUGGGGCUAGAUGGUAGCUGGUUGUGUAGUGGGGAUAGAUGGUAGCUGGUUGUGUAGUGUGGCUAGAUGGUAGAUGUUUGUGUAGUGGGGCUAGAUGGGGGCUAGAUGGCAGCUGGUUGUGUAGUGGAGCUAGGUGGUAGAUGGUUGUGUAGUGGGGCUAGAUGGUAGAUGGUUGUGUAGUGGGGCUAGAUGGUAGCUGGUCGUGUAGUGGGGCUAGAUGGUAGAUGGUUGUGUAGUUGGGCUAGAUGGUAGCUGGUUGUGUAGUGGGGCUAGAUGGUAGAUGGUUGUGUAGUGGGGCUAGAUGGUAGAUGGUAGCUGGUUGUGUACUGGGGCUAGAUGGUAGCUGGUUGUGUAGUGGGGCUAGAUGGUAGAUGGUUGUGUAGUGGGGCUAGAUGGUAGCUGGUCGUGUAGUGGGGCUAGAUGGUAGAUGGUUGUGUAGUGGGGAUAGAUGGUAGCUGGUUGUGUAGUGGGGCUAGAUGGCAGCUGGUUGUGUAGUGGGGAUAGAUGGUAGCUGGUUGUAUAGUGUGGCUAGAUGGUAGAUGUUUGUGUAGUGGGGCUAGAUGGGGGCUAGAUGGCAGCUGGUUGUGUAGUGGGGCUAGGUGGUAGAUGGUUGUGUAGUGGGGUUACAUGGUAGCUGGUUGUGUAGUGGGGCUAGAUGGGGGCUAGAUGGUAGCUGGUUGUGUAGUGGGGCUAGAUGGUAGAUGGUUGUGUAGUGGGGCUAGAUGGUAGAUGGUUGUGUAGUGUGGCUAGGUGGUAGAUGGUUGUGUAGUGUGGCUAGAUGGUAGAUGGUUGUGUAGUGGGGCUAGAUGGUAGAUGGUAGAUGGUUGUGUAGUGGGGCUAGAUGGUAGAUGGUAGAUGGUUGUGUAGUGGGGCUAGAUGGUAGAUGGUUGUGUAGUGGGGCUAGAUGGUAGAUGGUAGAUGGUUGUGUAGUGGGGCUAGAUGGUAGCUGGUUGUGUAGUGGGGCUAGAUGGUAGAUGGUAGAUGGUUGUGUAGUGGUGCUAGAUGGUAGAUGGUUGUGUAGUGUGGCUAGAUGGUAGAUGGUUGUGUAGUGGGGCUAGAUGGUAGAUGGUUGUGUAGUGGGGCUAGAUGGUAGAUGGUAGAUGUUUGUGUAGUGGGGCUAGAUGGUAGAUGGUUGUGUAGUGGGGCUAGAUGGUAGAUGGUUGUGUAAUGUGGCUAGAUGGUAGCUGGUUGUGUAGUGGGGCUAGAUGGUAGAUGGUUGUGUAGUGGGGCUAGAUGGUAGAUGGUAGAUGGUUGUGUAGUGGGGCUAGAUGGUAGAUGGUAGAUGGUUGUGUAGUGGUGCUAGAUGGUAGAUGGUUGUGUAGUGUGGCUAGAUGGUAGAUGGUUGUGUAGUGGGGCUAGAUGGUAGAUGGUUGUGUAGUGGGGCUAGAUGGUA
ensembl:lncRNA